CCCCUUCCCCCACUUAAUUUGACCACCGGCCUCAUUAUGGCCCCAUGAUUACAGCAUGAAGCCCCAUUUCUCGGCUGCAUGAGCAUGUCUCCUACUCCCAUAAUUAUAACUUGGGAGCGACGUUUCAUUUACUGGAGGACCACAUACACUUACACGUAAAGCAACCGAGCAGAAGGAGUAGUAGGAAAACAAAUGUAUAAUACACAUUGCAUGGUAAUUCGAGAGGUAGAAAACCUGACGUGGAAUGGCAUGAUGAUUCAUGACAAGGCUCGCUGAGUUGAUUCUUGGGAGCAGACAUGCCGGCAAACAACCUGGUGUGGCUUUCUUCACCUUUACACCCAACAGUCUCAAGGAUCACAACCUGGUGCACAGUUUUUGCCUCCGCUGGAUGUUUGAGAAGGUUGAAGCAGCGGACCACAAUCUAUGACCACUUUUGAUGGCAUCCCCC
rnacentral:lncRNA from 1 species